rnacentral:rRNA from 1 species
UACGAAGGGGGCUAGCGUUGCUCGGAAUCACUGGGCGUAAAGGGUGCGUAGGCGGUUCGUCGCGUCGGCUGUGAAAUCCCGAGGCUCAACCUCGGGUCUGCAGUCGAUACGGGCGGACUGGAGUACUGCAGGGGAGACUGGAAUUCCUGGUGUAGCGGUGAAAUGCGUAGAUAUUGAGAAGAACACCAGAGGCGAAGGCGGGUUGCUGGGCCGACACUGACGCUGAGGCGCGAAAGCCAGGGGAGCAAACGGG